GAGGAUGGGGAAGCCCAGGCAAUAUCUAGGUUAGCUAUAGGUUAGCCACAUGUGCCCAUGAGACAGGUUCCUCUCAAAAAUGCCAUCCCUGACCUGUGAUGUCUCGCGGGGCGGCGGGGCCCAUGAAAAGAGGCUGAGGGUGCCCCAAAGAGCUAGAAGGCCAGAACCCCUUACUUGCUGUUACUUUGAAAGUUGUGCUCUUUAGAAACAGAGUUCUGCCCUCCCCUCCACUGCUUUCCCCAGGAAGUGCAUCCCUGCCCGCUCUGUGUACCUCGGCUCUAUCUAGCACCCCUCAUUCUUCUCUCCACUUCCACAUCAUGCUCCUUCCCACUUUUCAGCUCCCUGGAAGAGGAUGGAGGGUUCAGAAUUUGCUCAGCCAGUUUAACCAAACCAAAACGGCCAGGGUCUAAUCGGAACUACAGUGGCUGGCCUACACCACAGCCACAGCAACGCCAGAUCCAAGCUGCGUCUGCAACCUACACCACAGCUCAUAGCAACACCAGAUCCUUAACCCACUGACCGAGGCCAGGGAUGAAACCCGCAACCUCAUGGUUCCUAGAUGGAUUCCUUUCCCCUGGGCCAUGACAGGAACUCCCCUCCCCUCCUCACUUGAUGGCAUUCAUUUCUUUCCCCUUAUAAAAAGGAGCAAGCCCCAACAAUCAGGUAUCUGUUAGUAUAAACAAAUUUACAAGGCUGGUCCAUUAGAGCAGGUUUUUAUAAAAAGAAAGAGGCACACAUCAUGACCCAAGCUCUGCCUAAUGAAGCUUCAGAGAAUAGGCAAGAGAUAGGCCCUAGAACAAGAAGGCUGAGGAGACUAGAGCCCCUUCUUCACUGGCUGUAUUCUGCUCAAUGACGUACCCUACUCGAUAUGUUCCUUCCUCAGCAUCUCUGCCCCAACCUCACCCAAUUCAAGGAACCUCCAGACUCAUCAGACUGUACGUUAGAAGAGCCAGUCUUAAUACUUUUGAUAACAGCUGUGGUUCCUACCACUGCUGGCACCACCACUGCUAGGACUGGGACUGUGACAAGGCACUGCCCUGAGCGCUCACACUCAUUCUUGAAUUUUCUCCUGUUGGAGGGGAGCACCACCAUUUCCCUAUUUUACAGAGGAGGUCUGGUGGCCCCCAGUCUACGACCCCAAUUUAUUUGAUUGAUUGAUUGAUCAAUUUUAUUUAUUUUUGGCUUUCUAUGGCCGCACCCAUGGCAUAUCGAAGUUCUCAGGCUAGGUGUUAAAUUGGAGUUGCAGCUGCUGGCCUACGCCAGAGCCACAGCAAUGAGGGAUCCGAGCUGUGUCUGUGAUCUACACCACAGCUCACAGCAACACCUGAUCCUUAACCCACUGAGCAAGGCCAGGGGUGGAACCCGCAACCUCAUGGAUACUCAUCAGGUUCCUAACCCACUGAGCCACAACGGGAACUCCUACACCCCCAAUAUGCUACAUCGCUCUUUUGUUUCAAUGUUAGCAGAAGACGCCGUAGAGAGAAAACUUGUGAUGUACCCUGUAUUCUGUACCCAUUUGGGAAUUCCUUUAAGAGUGAGAGCUGGAAGUGCAGUAUGGGGAAACCUGGGAGAGAACUCAAGGCUUUAGGCUGGAUAUGGGGCUCUCCAUCCCAAGGCACAUCCCAUAGCUGCAGUGAUUUUCCUGUUGAGAUGACGCUCUGACCACCUCACUCCCUACUCCGGUCCCUUUAAUGAUUUCCCAUUACCUUUAGGAUCAAGUUCACCACCUCAGCGAGGCUUUGUGGUUUGGCCUCAUUUCCUGCCUCCCCCUCGGUCGGGCACAAUCCAGGGAGAAUGACUUGUGGUUCCCCUGGCAGCUCCCCGAUCACUGCCUCUGGGCCUUCAGCCCUGUGUUCCCCUUCCUGGAACACUCUUACUCCUUCUCUCAGCCCGACUAGAGACGGAUGAGCUCAAUUACAGCGCCAGCAUCCCUGGGCUCUGUUUACUUCAUGCUCUCCCUGGCCUCAGCUCUCGAUUUAGUUCAGGCAAACUCAGGAUAAGAGCUGUCUCCCUGGAAACUCUCAGCAUGGCAGCUGCCAGCCGCAGUAGCCAAGUUCUUCCAGUGCUGUCCGUGCAGCAGCCCUUCGUUCAUUCAUUCACCCUACUAAGCGCCAGGUCCUGGGCUAGGUUUGCAGCACCACAGGGAACAAGGCAGACUCAUCGCUGCCCUCCCCACCUGAGGGCUACACCCCAAUUACAGGAUGCAGAGAACGCUGAUGGUGGGCUGAUUGAGGGACAAGGGGUUACCUAGAUUUAGGGGGUCAGGAAAUAGGUGUAUGUCUGAUAGCCAGCAGAGGGGAUGAAGCAUAGGCCUCCAGGUAAAAGAGACAACAUGGGCAGAGGCUGGGAACUCACAGGGAGAGCAGGUGGCCCUGUGGGUUUUAGGAGCUCCCGGGAUGAAGGAUGGAGUCCACAGGAAGCUAGGCUAAGAUCAUGAAAUGUCUUAGAAACCAAGGCAGGGAGAGCGCUAAUAAACAAAAGAAAAUAGCAGGCUGUACCGCAUUAGAACAGAGUGAAAUGCAAAUGAAGGGGGAGCACCAUUAGAUUGGGGGCCCCUGAGAGGUCUUUGGGAAAGAGAUGAUGUUUAGAUGGAAAUCUGGAUAAUGAGGAGGGUGAAGACGGG
ensembl:lncRNA